AAGAAAACUAAAACGUACACGCUUCGUAAUAUCAUAUCGUCAUCCGCCUUUUGAUCAAUCUUGGCAUACCUUUGACUUUAAAGAAAUAGGAGAAUCAAACUUUCACAAUUACAAAUUCAUUUCCCAAGAAUCGAUCUUUGGGAAUUUUCGAAUAGAACUAGGUGUUUUCAAAAUAGGUCACAUUGGAAUACAAGGGUGACUGGGAGAUCAAUACGAUCAAAUGAACUUAAUGUUGCGUAUCCAUAUUAGACACUACUAAAGGUUGUUAACCUUCUUGUAAUGACAACACACACAAGUGAUGGCGUCCCAUUCAACUCCUAUCACACAGACAUGUAUACCUUGUGUCCCCUAUAAAU
rnacentral:lncRNA from 1 species